GACGAACGCUGGCGGCGUGCCUAACACAUGCAAGUCGAGCGAACCCUUCGGGGUGAGCGGCGGACGGGUGAGUAACGCGUGGGUAACCUGCCCUGUACACACGGAUAACAUACCGAAAGGUAUGCUAAUACGGGAUAAUAUAUGAGAGUCGCAUGGCUUUUGUAUCAAAGCUUUUGCGGUACAGGAUGGACCCGCGUCUGAUUAGCUAGUUGGUAAGGUAACGGCUUACCAAGGCAACGAUCAGUAGCCGACCUGAGAGGGUGAUCGGCCACAUUGGAACUGAGACACGGUCCAAACUCCUACGGGAGGCAGCAGUGGGGAAUAUUGCACAAUGGGCGAAAGCCUGAUGCAGCAACGCCGCGUGAGCGAUGAAGGCCUUCGGGUCGUAAAGCUCUGUCCUCAAGGAAGAUAAUGACGGUACUUGAGGAGGAAGCCCCGGCUAACUACGUGCCAGCAGCCGCGGUAAUACGUAGGGGGCUAGCGUUAUCCGGAAUUACUGGGCGUAAAGGGUGCGUAGGCGGUCUUUCAAGCCAGAAGUGAAAGGCUACGGCUCAACCGUAGUAAGCUUUUGGAACUGUAGGACUUGAGUGCAGGAGAGGAGAGUGGAAUUCCUAGUGUAGCGGUGAAAUGCGUAGAUAUUAGGAGGAACACCAGUAGCGAAGGCGGCUCUCUGGACUGUAACUGACGCUGAGGCACGAAAGCGUGGGGAGCAAACAGG
rnacentral:rRNA from 1 species